rnacentral:rRNA from 1 species
GAUGAACGCUGGCGGCGUGCCUAAUACAUGCAAGUCGAGCGAAGCGGGGACGGGUGAGUGUCACGUUGAUAACAUCAUAUAAGACUGGGAUAACUUCGGGAAACCGGUGCUAAACCGGAUAAUUCUAUCUGACUCAAUACUGCAUUAGCUAGUUGGAAAGGUAACGGCAUACCAAGGCAACGAUGCAUAGCCGACCUGAGAGGUUGAUCGGCCACACGGGAACGGAGACACGGUCCAGACUACUACGGGAGGCAGCAGUAGGGAAUCGUCCGCAAUGGGAGAAAGCCUGACGAAGCAACGCCGCGUGUGUGAUGAGGGUCUUCGGAUCGUAAAACGCUUUCAUUAGGGAAGCGGUACCUAAUCAGAAAGCUACGGCUAACUACGUGCCAGCAGCCGCGGUAAUAC